GACGAACGCUGGCGGCGUGCUUAACACAUGCAAGUCGAACGGUAAGGCCCUUCGGGGUACACGAGUGGCGAACGGGUGAGUAACACGUGGGUGAUCUGCCCUGCACUUCGGGAUAAGCCUGGGAAGCUGGGUCUAAUACCGGAUAGGACUCCGGACUGCAUGGUCUGGGGUGGAAAGCUUUUGCGGUGUGGGAUGGGCCCGCGGCCUAUCAGCUUGUUGGUGGGGUGAUGGCCUACCAAGGCGACGACGGGUAGCCGGCCUGAGAGGGUGACCGGCCACACUGGGACUGAGAUACGGCCCAGACUCCUACGGGAGGCAGCAGUGGGGAAUAUUGCACAAUGGGCGCAAGCCUGAUGCAGCGACGCCGCGUGAGGGAUGACGGCCUUCGGGUUGUAAACCUCUUUCAGCAUCGACGAAGCGAAAGUGACGGUAGGUGCAGAAGAAGGACCGGCCAACUACGUGCCAGCCGCCGCCGCAG
rnacentral:rRNA from 1 species